rnacentral:rRNA from 1 species
AUUGAACGCUGGCGGCAUGCUUUACACAUGCAAGUCGAACGGCAGCGCGGGCUUCGGCCUGGCGGCGAGUGGCGAACGGGUGAGUAAUACAUCGGAACGUGCCCAGUAGUGGGGGAUAGCUCGGCGAAAGCCGGAUUAAUACCGCAUACGACCUGAGGGUGAAAGCGGGGGAUCUUCGGACCUCGCGCUAUUGGACCGGCCGAUGGCCGAUUAGCUAGUUGGUGGGGUAAAGGCCUACCAAGGCGACGAUCUGUAGCUGGUCUGAGAGGACGACCAGCCACACUGGGACUGAGACACGGCCCAGACUCCUACGGGAGGCAGCAGUGGGGAAUUUUGGACAAUGGGCGAAAGCCUGAUCCAGCAAUGCCGCGUGUGUGAUGAAGGCCUUCGGGUUGUAAAGCACUUUUGGCGGGAACGAAAAGGACUGUGCCAAUACCACGGUUCGAUGACGGUACCCGCAGAAUAAGCACCGGCUAACUACGUG